rnacentral:lncRNA from 1 species
GCUGCCCGCCAGAAUCCUGAGCAGCGGCGCUCACCGUCCCAACCAACAACUGAAACCACCACAGAGCUGACGGAAAGCCAUAGUUUGGAAAGCAUAACUGCCACCGCGCACCAAGCAGAGAAAAAAGAGAAAGAAACCACCACAAAACUAACAGCAGACCAGUCAGAUCUCUGAGCCGGAGUACCUCGCCUCGUGAUUAACAACCCCGGUACGAAUUACACUUGGCUGCAGGAUCCACACAGAGAGCAAGCAAAUGCGUGGUUUUGAGGGAAGCUAGAAAUCUUCGGGAAUGAGUGAAAACAGAUG